GUCUUUUUGUUUAUAAUUUAAAGUCUAACCUGCCCACUGAAUUUUUAAAGGCCGCGGUAUUUUGACCGUGCGAAGGUAGCAUAAUAAUUAGUUUUUUAAUUGAAAGCUGGAAUGAAUGGUUGAACGAGGAAAUAGCUGUCUCUGUAUUAAUUGGUUAAAAAUUUAUUUUUAAGUUAAAAAGCUUAAAUUUAUUUAAAAGACGAGAAGACCCUAUAGAGUUUGAUAAAAUUUUUUAUUUAAGGAAAGUUGAAAUAUUUUUAUUUAAAUUUUUGAUUUUAUUUUAUUGGGGUGAUGAAAAAAUUUAUUAAACUUUUUUUAUAUUUGAACAUUAAUGUAUGAUUUAUUGAUCCAUAAAUUAUGAUUAUAAGAUUAAAUUACCUUAGGGAUAACAGCGUAAUUUCUUUAGAGAGUUCUUAUCGAAAAGGAGGAUUGCGACCUCGAUGUUGGAUUAAAAUAAAAGUUUGGUGUAGAGGCUAAAUCUUUGGGUCUGUUCGACCCUUAAAAUUUU
rnacentral:rRNA from 1 species